rnacentral:rRNA from 1 species
ACCUGGUUGAUCCUGCCAGUAGUCAUAUGCUUGUCUCAAAGAUUAAGCCAUGCAUGUCUAAGUAUAAACUGAUUUUAUACGGUGAAACUGCGAAUGGCUCAUUAAAUCAGUUAUAGUUUAUCCGAUUGUGCCGUUGUGAAUCGGAUUACCGUCCGGUUCGCUCCUACUUGGAUAACCGUGGUAAUUCUAGGGCUAAUACAUGCAAAAAAGGCCGACUGGAGGGGGAAAGGGUAAGGGGGUAUGGGCUUGCUCGUGCCUACCGCCCCUCCCAUUCUUCGGAAGGCCUGCAUUUAUUGGCAAAAAACCCGGUCUUUGAAAUCUGGUGAUCCACAAUAACCGCGCGAAUCGCACUCGGCCUUUUGAGCCGGCGAUGGAUCGAAUAAAUUUCUGCCCUAUCAACUAGAUGGCAGGGUAGUGGCCUGCCAUGGUGAUAACGGGUAACGGAGAAUUAGGGUUCGAUUCCGGAGAGGGAGCCUGAGAAACGGCUGCCACUUCCAAGGAAGGCAGCAGGCGCGUAAAUUACCCAAUCCCGACACGGGGAGGUAGUGACAAGAAAUAACAAUGCUCGCCCUGCACAAGGGCGAGCAAUUGGAAUGAGUACAAUUUAAAUCCUUUAACGAGGAACUAUUCGAGGGCAAGUCUGGUGCCAGCAGCCGCGGUAAUUCCAGCUCGAAUAGCGUAUAUUAAAGUUGCUGCAGUUAAAAAGCUCGUAGUUGGAUUUCGGGGCAGUUCCAAAAGGCGCGGUCCCGCUCCCCUAAAAAGGAGCUCGUACUGCGCCUUUCUGCCCUUACCUUGGGGAGACUUCAUUCGUCCCGCCCUUCAUUUCCUUCUUUUUUCACACCAUCUCUUUCGGGGGAUGGCGCUGAGGAGAAGGGAGAGGGAUCUUGGGAAGGGUGAUGUCUGCCUGGGGUGUUCGAUCAGUGGCUCGCCUCCGGCUCUUUACUGAGCUCCGGAGGUAUUCCCUCCACCAGUUUUGUGGGCGCUCUUGCUCCCUUCUCCUGGCCCUCUCGGGGGUUGGGGGGAGGACCUGGAAGAGCCAACCCCGUCUGGUCAAGGUAGGGUUUUGUUUCCGCCUCAUCUGGUCCUUUCUUCUUUCCGCUUUGUUUCAUCAACUCUCCCACUUGGUUUUUUUCUCUUCUCGGGCGCAAGCUGCAGAUGGAGGGAUCAUUCCUUGUGGAACCGGGGGCUGUUGGCAGGGCGGAUAUCAGGGAGGAAGGUCUAUUUUCAGGUGAGGAAAAAAUAUUUAUUUUUUUAAAGGAAGCAGAGCUCUGGUCCGUUUACCUUGAAUAAAUUAAAGUGUUCAAAGCAGGCUUCAAUUGAAAAGCCAUGAAUACGUUAGCAUGGGAUAAUGGAAUAGGACUUUGGUCUUAUUUUGUUGGUUUUUUUCUUUGUCUUCCAAGACCGAAGUAAUGAUUAACAGGGACAGUCGGGGGCAUUUGUAUUUAAUUGUCAGAGGUGAAAUUCUUGGAUCAAUUAAAGACAAACUUCAGCGAAAGCAUUUGUCAAGGAUGUUUUCAUUAAUCAAGAACGAAAGUUAGGGGAUCGAAGAUGAUCAGAUACCGUCGUAGUCC